rnacentral:rRNA from 1 species
GGCCUAACACAUGCAAGUCGAGCGGAGAGAAAGCUUGCUUCUCUUGAGAGCGGCGGACGGGUGAGUAAUGCCUAGGAAUCUGCCUGGUAGUGGGGGAUAACGUUCGGAAACGGACGCUAAUACCGCAUACGUCCUACGGGAGAAAGCAGGGGACCUUCGGGCCUUGCGCUAUCAGAUGAGCCUAGGUCGGAUUAGCUAGUUGGUGGGGUAAUGGCUCACCAAGGCGACGAUCCGUAACUGGUCUGAGAGGAUGAUCAGUCACACUGGAACUGAGACACGGUCCAGACUCCUACGGGAGGCAGCAGUGGGGAAUAUUGGACAAUGGGCGAAAGCCUGAUCCAGCCAUGCCGCGUGUGUGAAGAAGGUCUUCGGAUUGUAAAGCACUUUAAGUUGGGAGGAAGGGCAGUAAAUUAAUACUUUGCUGUUUUGACGUUACCGACAGAAUAAGCACCGGCUAACUCUGUGCCAGCAGCCGCGGUAAUACGAAUCACUAGUGAAUUCGCGGCCGCCUGCAGGUCGACCAUAUGGAGAGCUCCCAACGCGU